rnacentral:rRNA from 1 species
UACGGAGGGUGCGAGCGUUGUCCGGAAUCAUUGGGCGUAAAGGGCGCGUAGGUGGCGCAGCAAGCGUGCGGUGAAAGCUCGGGGCUCAACCCCGAGUCGGCCGUGCGAACUGCUGGGCUCGAACACUGUAGAGGCAGGCGGAAUUCCGGGUGUAGCGGUGGAAUGCGUAGAGAUCCGGAAGAACACCGGUGGCGAAGGCGGCCUGCUGGGCAGUUGCUGACACUGAGGCGCGACAGCGUGGGGAGCAAACAG